rnacentral:rRNA from 1 species
UACGAAGGGUGCAAGCGUUACUCGGAAUUACUGGGCGUAAAGCGUGCGUAGGCGGUUUGUUAAGUCUGUCGUGAAAGCCCCGGGCUCAACCUGGGAAUGGCGAUGGAUACUGGCGAGCUAGAGUACGGGUAGAGGAGAGUGGAAUUCCCGGUGUAGCAGUGAAAUGCGCAGAUAUCAGGAAGAACACCCGUGGCGAAGGCGGCUCUCUGGAACGCAACUGACGCUGAGACGCGAAAGCGUGGGGAGCAAACAGG